rnacentral:rRNA from 1 species
GAUGAACGCUGGCGGCGUGCCUAAUACAUGCAAGUCGAACGAAAAGACGAUGAUCUUGCUCCUUUGACGUUAGCCGCGCGCGUGUGAGAAACACGUGUAUCAUCCACUUAUAAUUGUGGUAUAUCUUCGGGAAAGGGGAUCUUAUCCCGUAUAAUAUAUUGAUGCGCGUGGGUGAAUGGUGAAAGACGGUUGUGCGGGCUCUUAUAGAGGGAUCCGCGCCGCAUUGGGUGGUUGGGAAGUUAACGGGUUACCACGGGAACGAUGCGUAGACGAACUGAGAGGGUGAUAGGCGACACGGGAACUGAGACGCGGACAAGACUCCUGAGGGAGGCAGCAGUAGGGAAUGUGCCGCAAUGGGCGAAAGCAUGACGGAGUAGGGCCGCGUGAGUGAUAAAGGUCUUCGGAUCGUAAAACUCUGUUAUGAGGGAAGAACAAAUGUGUAAGUAACUAUGCAGGUCUUGACGGUACCUAAUCAGGAAGCCCCGGCUAACUACGUG